rnacentral:tRNA from 5 species
AAAUCCGUCGACUUUAAAAUCGUGAGGGUUCAAGUCCCUCUAUCCCCAA